CAUAAACGACUCUCGGCAACGGAUAUCUCGGCUCACGCAUCGAUGAAGAACGUAGCAAAAUGCGAUACUUGGGGUGAAUUGCAGAAUCCCGUGAACCAUCRAGUUUUUGAACGCAAGUUGCGCCCGAAKCCUUUUGGCCGAGGGCACGUCUGCCUGGGCGUCACAC
rnacentral:rRNA from 1 species